CCCCUCUCCUUCUCCCUCUCCCUCUCUCUGUGUGUUUUUAGGUGAGAAUAGUAAAUCACUUCUGAUGUAGUCAAGGACAAAGGUCUGAGUGCUCACUGUGUAAGAUAACACAGCUGCAAAAUUCUUAUUCCUCAUGCCAGAGAUGGAAGGCCAAGGCCUUAUGCAUGGUGAGGAGGUGCUCCACCACUGAGCUACUUACCUCAGCUCUGUCAUGUCUCUGUAACAUCAUUCUACCGAUCAAUGAAAGAGGAUUAAAUAAAGUUCUUCAACAACUUGUUUGUUUGUUCUGAAAAUUA